CGCAUCGAUGCAGCGCCCUUUUGGGAGUAAGGGCUCGCAGGCGGUUUCUUAAGUCUGAUGUGAAAGCCCCCGGCUCAACCGGGGAGGGUCAUUGGAAACUGGGGAACUUGAGUGCAGAAGAGGAGAGUGGAAUUCCACGUGUAGCGGUGAAAUGCGUAGAGAUGUGGAGGAACACCAGUGGCGAAGGCGACUCUCUGGUCUGUAACUGACGCUGAGGAGCGAAAGCGUGGGGAGCGAACAGGAUUAGAUACCCUGGUAGUCCACGCCGUAAACGAUGAGUGCUAAGUGUUAGGGGGUUUCCGCCCCUUAGUGCUGCAGCUAACGCAUUAAGCACUCCGCCUGGGGAGUACGGUCGCAAGACUGAAACUCAAAGGAAUUGACGGGGGCCCGCACAAGCGGUGGAGCAUGUGGUUUAAUUCGAAGCAACGCGAAGAACCUUACCAGGUCUUGACAUCCUCUGACAAUCCUAGAGAUAGGACGUCCCCUUCGGGGGCAGAGUGACAGGUGGUGCAUGGUUGUCCUCAGCUCGUGUCGUGAGAUGUUGGGUUUAAUCCCGCAACGAGCGCAAACCG
rnacentral:rRNA from 1 species